rnacentral:rRNA from 1 species
GACGAACGCUGGCGGCAUGCUUAACACAUGCAAGUCGAACGGAAAGGCCCUGCGUUCGUGGGGUGCUCGGGUGGCGAACGGGUGAGGAACACGAGAGUAACCUGCCCUUGACUUUGGGAUAACUUCAGGAAAGGGGGGCUACUACCGGAUCGGAGAUCCUGCUGCAUGGUGGGGGUUGGAAAGUUUCGGCGGUUGGGGAUGGACUCGCGGCUUAUCAGCUUGUUGGUGGGGUAGUUGCUUACCAAGGCUGUGACGGGUAGCCGGCCUGAGAGGUUGACCGGCCACAUUGGGCCUGAGAGACGGACCAGACUCCUACGGGAGGCAGCAGGGGGGAAUAUGGCACAAUGGGCGGAAGCCUGAUGCAGCAACGCCGCGUGCGGGAUGACGGCCUUCGGGUUGUAAACCGCUUUCGCCUGUGACGAAGCGGGAGUGACGGUAAUGGGUAAAGAAGCACCGGCUAACUACGUG